GAGAGAUGGCUGCCGUUAAUUUUGGUGGAUAUUACCCAGGAUGCCAGAUUUAUCUCAUGGCAAUGGGCCAGGAUCUGGGAUUGUGUUAGUGUUAAGGUUGUUCCAAGGAAGAGACUUGUUUCACUCUCUGCUGCUGCAGCAGCAGUUCAAUGGAGUCUUCAGGGACUGUUCCUGAGCAAAAUCCUGAAAUAUAUCUGGAAUUUAUUGGGCCGAAGCCGGAACCUGAUUAUUUUCCAUGUUUUCUCCUGAUUCAUCAGUGGAACUUGCAUGUUUGCGUGUUUUUAAUCUUAAUGUCCUCAAGUUCUGUGCACCCUCCUUGUUCUUCUCAUGCGGAUUCUUGAUGUAAAGGAUAUUUUGAAUGAAAGAACAGAUACCGAACUUCGGUGUCUGAAGAAGGAACCUGAAUCCUGGAGACUUGCUUGACAAACAAUUGUUGAAAAUAAAGAAAACUCUGGCAAGGUUGUGGUUCAGAGGAUACCUCAGUGGAAGAAAUGAUUAGAGGCAAGGCAUGGUCAAUGAAUGAAGCCAGCAGAACAUUAUGACGUUUCAAAAAAACUCAGGACAACACAGAUGCAGCAUCAAACACCUGCUGAUAAUUUUUUUUGUCAGAAAUCUUAGCUCUACAUGUACAUGAUCGCAAGGAAUCGCGCAAAAGGAUCCCAUAUAGCUGAUCCCACUGGUUUUGGAUCCAGGCUUGGUGGUUGUAAAUCUUAGCUUUGCAAAGCUUAAUUUUCGAGAAAAUUGUAAUGUAUAUUGUCUACAUUUGUCAGAUUCUGCUUGUGCUGCGUUCAAUGCUUUUACCGUGCACAGAAUAUAAUUGGCUACUUCAGCA